rnacentral:SRP_RNA from 1 species
GUGUGCUAGAUGGGGAGUUAGCGGUGCCCUGUUACCCGGAACCCGCUCUACCGGGGUCGAAUUCCCACCGGAGGGCGCGGCAAGCGGGACGGUCGAGCGGUAAGCGGUGUUGACGGUCGGGCCCGAUACAACAUAAGCCUUUUGAACCCCGUCAGGACCGGGAGGUAGCAGCGGUAGAAAGUGUCUUGUGUGUGUUGUCGGAUCUCCCGACCUGAGCCGGCUGCCGUAAGAACGUUCCGUGAGCGGCUCGAUGGUGGGUGCACAC